UACGGAGGGGGCAAGCGUUGUUCGGAAUUACUGGGCGUAAAGGGCGCGUAGGCGGCCCGCUAAGUCGAACGUGAAAUCCCCGAGCUCAACUCGGGAACUGCGUCCGAUACUGGCGGGCUUGAAUCCGGGAGAGGGAUGCGGAAUUCCAGGUGUAGCGGUGAAAUGCGUAGAUAUCGAGAGGAACACCUGCGGCGAAGGCGGGUUGCUGGGCUGACACUGACGCUGACAGCGCGAAAGCUAGGGGAGCGAACGGG
rnacentral:rRNA from 1 species